rnacentral:rRNA from 1 species
GAUGAACGCUAGCGGCAGGCUUAACACAUGCAAGUCGAGGGGCAGCAUAAUGGAUAGCAAUAUCUAUGGUGGCGACCGGCGCACGGGUGCGUAACGCGUAUGCAACCUACCUUUAACAGGGGGACAACACUGAGAAAUUGGUACUAAUACCCCAUAAUAUCAUAGAAGGCAUCUUUUAUGGUUGAAAAUUCCGAUGGUUAGAGAUGGGCAUGCGUUGUAUUAGCUAGUUGGUGGGGUAACGGCUCACCAAGGCGACGAUACAUAGGGGGACUGAGAGGUUAACCCCCCACACUGGUACUGAGACACGGACCAGACUCCUACGGGAGGCAGCAGUGAGGAAUAUUGGUCAAUGGACGCAAGUCUGAACCAGCCAUGCCGCGUGCAGGAUGACGGCUCUAUGAGUUGUAAACUGCUUUUGUACGAGGGUAAACGCAGAUACGUGUAUCUGUCUGAAAGUAUCG